rnacentral:rRNA from 1 species
CAGUCGCCGCGGUAAUACGUAGGUGGCAAGCGUUGUCCGGAAUUAUUGGGCGUAAAGGGCUCGCAGGCGGUUUCUUAAGUCUGUUGUGAAAGCCCCCGGCUCAGCCGGGGAGGGUCAUUGGGAACUGGGAAACUUGAGUGCAGAAGAGGAGAGUGGAAUUCCACGUGUAGCGGUGAAAUGCGUAGAGAUGUGGAGGAACACCAGUGGCGAAGGCGACUCUCUGGUCUGUAACUGACGCUGAGGAGCGAAAGCGUGGGGAGCGAACAGGAUUAGAUACCCCCGUAGUCCCUGUCUCUUAUAC